rnacentral:rRNA from 1 species
UACAGAGGUCCCAAGCGUUGUUCGGAUUCACUGGGCGUAAAGGGCGUGUAGGCGGAUCGGCAAGUCGGGCGUGAAAUCCCUGGGCUCAACCCCAGGAACUGCACUCGAAAACUGCCUUUCUUGAGUGCCGGAGAGGAAAGCGGAAUACCUGGUGUAGAGGUGAAAUUCGUAGAUAUCAGGUGGAACACCAGUGGCGAAGGCGGCUUUCUGGACGGUAACUGACGCUGAGACGCGAAAGCGUGGGGAGCAAACAGG